rnacentral:rRNA from 1 species
GAUGAACGCUGGCGGCGUGCCUAAUACAUGCAAGUCGAGCGAACAGACGAGAAGCUUGCUCCUCUGACGUUAGCGGCGGACGGGUGAGUAACACGUGGAUAACCUACCUAUAAGACUGGGAUAACUUCGGGAAACCGUAGCUAAUACCGGAUAAUAUUUUGAACCGCAUGGUUCAAAAGUGAAAGACGGUCUUGCUGUCACUUAUAGAUGGAUCCGCGCUGCAUUAGCUAGUUGGUAAGGUAACGGCUUACCAAGGCAACGAUGCAUAGCCGACCUGAGAGGGUGAUCGGCCACACUGGAACUGAGACACGGUCCAGACUCCUACGGGAGGCAGCAGUAGGGAAUCUUCCGCAAUGGGCGAAAGCCUGACGGAGCAACGCCGCGUGAGUGAUGAAGGUCUUCGGAUCGUAAAACUCUGUUAUUAGGGAAGAACAUAUGUGUAAGUAACUGUGCACAUCUUGACGGUACCUAAUCAGAAAGCCACGGCUAACUACGUG